rnacentral:rRNA from 1 species
CAUGGGGGCCCAGCAAUGGGCAACCGGCGAACGGGUGCGUAACACGUGAGCAACCUGCCGAUCUGUGUGGAAUAGCCGGCCCAACGGCCGGGUAAUACCGCAUACGCUCAGUCUGUAGCAUUACGGAUUGAGGAAACCUUUUUGGGCGGAUCGAGGGGCUCGCGGCCUAUCAGCUAGUUGGCGAGGUAAUGGCUCACCAAGGCGAUGACGGGUAGCUGGUCUGAGAGGAUGGCCAGCCACAUUGGGACUGAGAUACGGCCCAGACUCCUACGGGAGGCAGCAGUGGGGAAUAUUGCGCAAUGGCCUAACGGCUGACGCAGCGACGCCGCGUGUGGGAUGAAGCCCUUCGGGGUGUAAACCACUGUUGCCCGGGACGAACAGCGAGCUUCAGCUUGCCUGACGGUACCGGGUGAGGAAGCACCGGCUAACUCCGUGCCAGCAGCCGCGGUAAUACGGAGGGUGCGAGCGUUGUCCGGAAUCACUGGGCGUAAAGGGCGCGUAGGUGGUGCGAUAAGUGUGUGGUGAAACCCCGGGGCUCAACCCCGGGUCUGCCAUGCAAACUGGCGGACUGCAGGACUGCACAGGCACGUGGAAUUCCCGGUGUGUGGGUGGAAUGCCUCUAGAACCAGAUACCCAUCAUCGCCUUGGGCAACCUUUACCUCACCAACUGACUGAUAGGCCGCGACACCCCUC